GGAAGCUUAGCUCUGCUGGGAGAGCAUCUGCCUUACAAGCAGAGGGUCACAGGUUCGAGCUCUGUAGUUUCCACCA
rnacentral:tRNA from 1 species